GACGAACGCUGGCGGCGCGCUUAACACAUGCAAGUCGAACGGAAAGGCCUGCUUUCCCUUGUGGAUUGCGGGUACUCGAGUGGCGAACGGGUGAGUAACACGUGAGUGAUCUGCCCCCAACUUGGGUAGAAGCACGGGAAACUGGGUCUAAUUCCCGAUAGGACUGCAGGGUGGUGCCUGUGGUGGAAAACGUUCUUCUAGUGGUUGGGGAUGCGCCCGCGGCCUAUCAGCUUGGUGGUGGGGUAAUGGCCUACCAAGGCGGCGACGGGUAGCCGGCGGGGGAGGGUGGACGGCCACAUUGGGACAGGGACACGGCCCAGACGCGUACGAGAGGCAGCAGUGGGGAAUAUUGGACAGUGGGCGGAAGCCUGAUGCAGCGACGCCGCGUGGGGGAUCACGGGCUUCGGGUAGUAAACUCCUUUCGACCGCGAGGAAGCCACCUGGCUGGAAGGGUGGUGACGGUAGUGGUAGAAGAAGCACCGGCUAACUACGUG
rnacentral:rRNA from 1 species